ACUUUCCCAUUUGCAUUUUUUGGGGAUACUGGGAAUUGAACCCCGGGUGCUCUAUCACUGAGCUAUAUCCCAAUUCUUUCUAUUUUAAGAAAAAUUUGCUGAUACUGGCCUCCAACUUGUGAUCCUCCUGCCUCAGCCUCCAUAGAUUACAUGCAUGCACGACCAAACUCAGACCAUCGAAAAUUUUAUAGGCAUUUUUAAUAUAUUUAAUAAUCCCACAUAUAUGAGUUUGCAUAAAAAGUAGAAGUUAUACCUUUGAAGUAAAUGAUUUUUCUUCCCAGGGUCACUAGACAAUGUUCUUCCUCUUAACUUUCCCUUUAACUGUUCCUUCUCAGAAAAUAACUAAUUUACUUCUUCCUUUUAUCAUCUUUUACCUCCAUGGACUACUGCUUUCAUAGUAUAUGUGUUCUUAUCUUUCCAGCAUCAAGAGAUAUUCUACCUAUUGACUAGUUAAUCCUGUCACUUGAGUUCAAAAGAAUUUAAGACCCCAUUCUUAUUUUGGGUUAAAACAAAGUCAAUUAUGACCCACCAAUUCCAUUCCUAUAUAUCUAACUAAGAGAAAUUAAAAUGUGUCCACAGACUUGUAAAAAAAUCAUAAUAACAUAAUAGCCAAAAACUAGAAAUGACACAAAUGUCCAUCAGUAGGAGACUGAAUAAACAAAAUGUGGUAUGCCAUAUAAAGGAAUAUUAUUAAUCCUUAAUGACUGAAGUAUGGAUAUAUGCUGUAACAUGGCUGAACCACAAAAAUAUUACCCUAAGUAAAAGAAUCCAGACACUAAAGUCACAUAUGUAUUAUAUGAUUCUAAUUAAAAUGAAAUGUUCAGUAGCUCAGUGAUAGAGUGCUUGCCUAGCACAGGUGAGGCACUGUGUUCGAUCCUUGGCACCACAUAAAAAAUAAAGGUUAAAUUCUUAAAAAAAAAAAAAAAGAAUUGCCAAGCUGUCUUCCAAAGUGGCUCCAUAUUUCCACAAGCAAUUAAUUAAAAUGAAACAUUCAAAGAAGAUUAAUUUACAGAGACAGAACACAGAUCAGUUUUAUUAUAUUAACUAAUCUUAUUGUAUUAGAUAAUUGGUUCACCUGGGGAUGGGAAUGGGAAUGAGUAGUGACUACAAAGAGGCAAGAGAGUUUUGGGGUUUUUUUAUUUGAUUUUGGUUUUGGUGGGGGAAAUUUCCUAUUAUGAGAUUGUG
rnacentral:lncRNA from 1 species